rnacentral:rRNA from 1 species
UUUAGGUUCGGAAUAGCUCCUGGAAACGGGUGGUAAUGCCGAAUGUGCCCUUCGGGGGAAAGAUUUAUCGCCUUUAGAGCGGCCCGCGUCUGAUUAGCUAGUUGGUGAGGUAACGGCUCACCAAGGCGACGAUCAGUAGCUGGUCUGAGAGGAUGACCAGCCACACUGGGACUGAGACACGGCCCAGACUCCUACGGGAGGCAGCAGUGGGGAAUCUUGCGCAAUGGGCGAAAGCCUGACGCAGCCAUGCCGCGUGAAUGAUGAAGGUCUUAGGAUUGUAAAAUUCUUUCACCGGGGACGAUAAUGACGGUACCCGGAGAAGAAGCCCCGGCUAACUUCGUGCCAGCAGCCGCGGUAAUACGAAGGGGGCUAGCGUUGCUCGGAAUUACUGGGCGUAAAGGGCGCGUAGGCGGAUCGUUAAGUCAGAGGUGAAAUCCCAGGGCUCAACCCUGGAACUGCCUUUGAUACUGGCGAUCUUGAGUAUGAGAGAGGUAUGUGGAACUCCGAGUGUAGAGGUGAAAUUCGUAGAUAUUCGGAAGAACACCAGUGGCGAAGGCGACAUACUGGCUCAUUACUGACGCUGAGGCGCGAAAGCGUGGGGAGCAAACAGGAUUAGAUACCCUG